rnacentral:rRNA from 1 species
UGGGGAAUCUUGCGCAAUGGACGAAAGUCUGACGCGGCAACGCCGCGUGAGUGAAGAAGGCCUUCGGGUUGUAAAGCUCUGUCGAGUGGGACGAAGUUUAGCAGUUUAAGAGAUGGCUAAAUUGACGGUACCACUAAAGGAAGCACCGGCUAACUCUGUGCCAGCAGCCGCGGUAAUACAGAGGGUGCAAGCGUUGCUCGGAAUUAUUGGGCGUAAAGGGUAGGUAGGUUGUCUCAUUUGUCUAGUGUGAAAUCCUCGGGCUUAACCUGAGAAGUGCACUAGAAACGGUGAGACUUGAGUCCUAGAGGGGUUCGUGGAAUUCCCGGUGUAGCGGUGAAAUGCGUAGAGAUCGGGAGGAACACCAGAGGCGAAGGCGGCGAACUGGAUAGGAACUGACACUAAACUACGAAAGCGUGGGUAGCAAACAGG